rnacentral:rRNA from 1 species
AAGCAGCCCCGCGAGGGUGAGCAAACCACAGAAACGGCGUCCCAGUUCGGAUUGCAGCCUGCAACUCGGCUGCAUGAAGCUGGAAUCGCUAGUAAUCGCGGAUCAGAAUGCCGCGGUGAAUACGUUCCCGGGUCUUGUACACACCGCCCGUCACACCAUGGGAGUCGGGAAUGCCCGAAGUCAGUGACCCCAACCGGAAAGGGGGGGAGCUGCCGAAGGCAGGCCUGGUAACUGGGGUGAAGUCGUAACAAGGUAUC